AUACCCAGCUAUUAGGCUAUGCACAUGCUGACCUUUAACGUACUUUUGGAUUGCAGCUCAGACCAUGAAAAGGUUGAAAAAAAGGAUGAGGAUGGAUUCUAACUCCCUCACAUACCUGGUCUUCAUGAAGUUGUCCUGCAUGAAAUCCAAGUGAAGAAUCCUGCAAAUAUAUAUACGCACUUCCCAGAACCCGGCAAGAGGCGGACUGAUUUCCCGCAACAAAUUCCUCCAGUCAGAACCAAUGUUGCUUUAAAAACACGAGCUUAAUUUAGAAAAACUCCUUUCUAGCAGUCUCUAACUUUUUUCCCAUUCUGUACUCUAAAACAGAUCUGUCAUCGUCACAUAAGUAAGGUUGAUUUCACGUUUAUAAAGUGUAUGCUUGUCAUUUCUUAAUUUUUAACACUGUUAAUACAGUGAUCACUCUUCCUGAGAACAUCUAAGGAUUCAUGACAAAAAAAGUGCACUGACUGUCCCUUAGCUUACCGAUUUAGUCGAGGGCUGCGUUUAGCAUGAAUAUUUAUGUAGAAAGUCAAUCAAAUUUAAAAGAGAUGAAUGUCUGAAUUUGUAACUAUUUCAUAGUAUUUGGGAAUCCACAUUGUUCAAACAAAACCAAAUGUUGUACAAUGC
rnacentral:lncRNA from 1 species